rnacentral:rRNA from 1 species
CGAACGCUGGCGGCGUGGAUUAGGCAUGCAAGUCGAACGAGAAAAGUUUCUUCGGAAACUAAGUAGAGUGGCAAACGGGUGAGUAACGCGUGGGAAACCUGCCUUUUGAUUGGGGACAACACUCCUAACGGGGUGCUAAUACCGAAUAAGCUUGUUGUAUCGCAUGAUAUGAUGAGGAAAGAUGGCCUCUGUUUCAAGCUAUCGUCGAAAGAUGGUCCCGCGUCCCAUUAGCUUGUUGGUGAGGUAACGGCUCACCAAGGCAGCGAUGGGUAGCCGGCCUUAGCGGGUGAUCGGCCACACUGGGACUGAGAUACGGCCCAGACUCCUACGGGAGGCAGCAGUCGAGAAGCUUCCACAAUGGGGGAAACCCUGAUGGAGCGACGCCGCGUGGGUGAUGAAGGUCUUCGGAUCGUAAAACCCUUUCAGCAGGGACGAAUGCUCGUGUGUUAAUAUCAUACGAGAGAGACGGUACCUGCAUAAGAAGCUCCGGCUAACUCC